UUCUUUCAUCUCACACCAAAUAAUUUCCUAAAUCACACACAAUCAUUCUCUCAUCUUCUCUCAAACCCCCCUUAAAAUAUGAAUGAGUUUUCAUCUUUAAGUAGGAUUGGUAUCAAAAAUCCUUUUUCUUUGAUUUGAUUUUGUAGAUUAUAAACCCUAACUGUAUUGAUUUCAUCUUCUCAGCCAUUCCAUUGAGAAACCUUAAUCUGAGUUUCAUCUCUGCCUCUUGAUUAUAUAUUUCGACGAAAAUCCUAACCAGAGCCACCAUCACGCGACUGACAAAGAACUUGAACACUAUGACUUUCAUGGGUGGUGAUUUCCACGGGGGAGAAAAAAAUAGGAAUAGCAAUAUGGAUCAUUUAAAGUUCUUACUUAAUUUGAUAAAUAGAGGUGUUGCUUUGCAAGAAUCACUUUGAAAAUAGAAAUUUUAUUGUUUUUCUGACUUGCAAUAAUCACUUUGUAAAAUAGAGGUGUUGCUUUGCAAGAAUCUCACAGUCACGGGUGGUUGUUGGGUAUGUAUUUAAUUUGAUAAAUAUAUAAACUAUUCAGAUGAAGAUUUUUAUAUUUUCUGAUCAUUAGGUUUCCAGUCGUGCUUAUUUCUUCUCGAUUUGGCGCCCAGGUAACUAACUGUACAUAUGUACAAGUUAUCUUUGUUAUGGAUAUAAAAGAUUAUCGCAUCUUAUGAUAAUAACAUAUGAAGUUUUGUUAUAAAUUAAUUACCGGUUUCUCCUUAGUGACUUAGAAGAAGUCGAGCAGGUGAAUUUUCAACUGACGUUAAUACAUUUUGUCACUGAGUCCUUAACUAGAACCGGAUAAGCAUGUGGGGUAUGAUCCAUCAGCAUAUGGUAUCCGUUCUUGCAGCAGAACAUGGAACAUAAUUGUUUAAAAAGUUGAUGUAAAACAAAAAUCAGAGACUAAAGGUACAUAAUUUGUAUUUUCAUUCGUGUAAUUUUAGUUUCAGACAUGGGUUGGACUAUACGUACACCAUUGGCAUACUAACCACACACCACCGACACAUCAUAGUGGGCGUAUAAGGGGUUAUAGGGGGUCGUAUGAGUGUUAAUAGUGGCUAAUCAUACUAGCCGUAAUGUUUAUACGUGUUGUAUGAGUUGGUGUCCUUUCAAAUCAUAUGGGCUAUAUGAUGUCCUAGACUGACAAAAAAGCGACGAAAUAUGCAUGACCUUUUUUCGCCAGUUAAAUGGCCCAUAUGAUGAUUUGGGGUGGUGUACGUAUAACAACACCCUUCAUAAUUGUGUUUGUAAAAUCGAACUAUUUCAUCGAACUACUUAGUUUAUAUAUGACUUAUACAAGUGGCCCAACUUAUGACCAUUUCGAGCGAGGUGAUAUAUGAAUGGGGAGGUAUGUGUUAUUUGAUCAUACUAUAACUUGGCAGUUGGGGUAUUUUGAAGAAUAGUCAACAUAUAUUUGAUGGUGGUAACAUAUAUUUCAUUUAGCUUUUAUGGUUAACACUAGGUUAUCACCCGGGUGCUACCCGGGUUGGAGAAAACUAUUAAGAAAAAUAUCAAGUGUAUAAAUAAAAUAAAAAACAAAGUCUGAUGUUGCAUAAAUUAGUGAUAGAGGGGAUAUACAAUUUAAAGAUAGUCGAGUCCCUUUGAAGAUUCAUAUCCUUCGAGUUACCAAAAUCUUUCUCUUAGUAAAUUAAGUUCCCUCUAAAAAACAACCAAAUUAUAAGUGUUAUAUACGUUUGUGUUUUUUUAGUAAGACUUUAACUUUCUU
rnacentral:lncRNA from 1 species